rnacentral:rRNA from 1 species
GGGCGGGGGCACGGGGGGAGAGUUUGAUCCUGGCUCAGGAUGAACGCUGGCGGCGUGCUUAACACAUGCAAGUCGAACGAACCUUCGGGUUAGUGGCGGACGGGUGAGUAACGCGUGGGAAUCUGCCCUCAGGAGGGGGAUAACGGCUGGAAACGGCCGCUAAUACCCCAUAUGCCGAGAGGUGAAAUGAAUUUCGCCUGAGGAUGAGCCCGCGUCUGAUUAGCUAGUUGGUGAGGUAAGAGCUCACCAAGGCAUCGAUCAGUAGCUGGUCUGAGAGGAUGAUCAGCCACACUGGGACUGAGACACGGCCCAGACUCCUACGGGAGGCAGCAGUGGGGAAUUUUCCGCAAUGGGCGAAAGCCUGACGGAGCAACGCCGCGUGAGGGAUGAAGGCCUCUGGGCUGUAAACCUCUUUUCUCAAGGAAGAAGAUCUGACGGU